rnacentral:rRNA from 1 species
GAUGAACGCUAGCUACAGGCUUAACACAUGCAAGUCGAGGGGAAACGACAUCGAAAGCCUGCUUUUGAUGGGCGUCGACCGGCGCACGGGUGAGUAACGCGUAUCCAACCUGCCCAUCACUUGGGAAUAACCUUGCGAAAGUAAGACUAAUACCCAAUGACAUCCCACGAAGACAUCUAAAUGGGAUUAAAGAUUUAUCGGUGAUGGAUGGGGAUGCGUCUGAUUAGCUUGUUGGCGGGGUAACGGCCCACCAAGGCAACGAUCGGUAGGGGUUCUGAGAGGAAGGUCCCCCACAUUGGAACUGAGACACGGUCCAAACUCCUACGGGAGGCAGCAGUGAGGAAUAUUGGUCAAUGGGCGAGAGCCUGAACCAGCCAAGUAGCGUGCAGGAUGACGGCCCUAUGGGUUGUAAACUGCUUUUACAAGGGAAUAAAGUGGGUCUCGUGAGACUUUUUGCAUGUACCUGAUGAAUAAGGACCGGCUAAUUCCGUG